UGUAAUUUAUAGAGAGUUAUAACGAAGCUUCGUUAUAUGAGAACCCGAAAUUAGUAUUACAAAUACAGAAUAAGGAUUUUAUUCAUCACAUUCAUCUAGCACCUACACAAUUCCACAUCCAUCUUACUCUUAAAUAAAUUGAUGGUGUUGGAAACACUCAUCAUAUGCCAACUAUCCCACUAAACACUCAUCAUUCCACUAAACACUCAUUAUUCCACACACUCAUCAUUCCACUAAACACUCUUUACACCUUCUUUUGCCAGCCAUCUUCUACACUUUAACAUCUCAACAUGCAAUUAGCUUUUAUUUAAUCAAAAUCAGCAACCAACAUUCCUCCCAUUCCUCCUAACAUUCUGAUCCAAGCUAUUCUUAUGCUUGAAUUAUAAUUCACUGAUUCCAGCUUUCCAAAUCAGUUUCCAAGAUUUCCCAAAACAAGAAAGAGAUCCAAUUUUGGUGAAUUCAGAAAGAAGAUUUUCCUCAUUUCCUACUCAUAUCAAGGUUACCUCCUACUUUACUUUCUCCAUACAUUCAUUUGUUAAAUUACAAAACUAUGAUUCAAAUGAAAACAGAUCGAACACACGCAUCCAUUACCACUUCUUUUAGACUAUUAUUGUUUCAAUUACAUCAGCUUAUUACCAUCAGAGAACCACCAACAGAAUAAUACACACGCACACAUUUUACUAUAUUUCUAUCUAUUACAAGUACAGAUCAGUUUUUGUAAAUAGAAAUGAAUGAAAAUGAACAGAAUUGAAACCCUAAGUGCUCUAUGUGUGUUUUGUGCGUGUGACUGGAAUUUGGGGGGGGUGAGAGCAGUCGGCGGCUGCUCGCGGCCGGAGGCGGCGCGGCGGCAGUCGCCGCCUUUUUCCUUUGUCUGUCUGAAACGAGAGAGAGAUGGUUAGGGCUGCUGUAAAAAUAAAAAAAAAAAAAAGAGA